GAUGAACGCUGGCGGCGUGCUUAACACAUGCAAGUCGAACGAGAAAUGGAGACGGAAACCUUCGGGCGGAAGGCUUCAUUUCGAGUGGCGGACGGGUGAGUAACGCGUGGGUAACCUGCCUCAUACAGGGGGAUAACAGUUGGAAACGACUGUUAAUACCGCAUAAGACCACAGCACCGCAUGGUGCGGGGGUAAAAACUCCGGUGGUAUGAGAUGGACCCGCGUUCGAUUAGCCAGUUGGCGGGGUAACGGCCCACCAAAGCGACGAUCGAUAGCCGAUCUGAGAGGAUGACCGGCAACAGUGGGACUGAGACACGGCCCAAACUCCUACGGGAGGCAGCAGUGGGGAAUAUUGCACAAUGGGGGAAACCCUGAUGCAGCGACGCCGCGUGAGUGAAGAAGUACUUCGGUAUGUAAAGCUCUAUCAGCAGGGAAGAAAAUGACGGUACCUGAGUAAGAAGCCCCGGCUAACUACGUG
rnacentral:rRNA from 1 species